UACGGAGGAUCCAAGCGUUAUCCGGAUUUAUUGGGUUUAAAGGGUGCGUAGGAGGGCAGGUAAGUCAGUGGUGAAAUCUCCAAGCUUAACUUGGAAACUGCCGUUGAUACUAUCUGUCUUGAAUAUUGUGGAGGUGAGCGGAAUAUGUCAUGUAGCGGUGAAAUGCUUAGAUAUGACAUAGAACACCAAUUGCGAAGGCAGCUCACUACUCAAUCAUUGACUCUGAGGCACGAAAGCGUGGGGAUCAAACAGG
rnacentral:rRNA from 1 species